rnacentral:rRNA from 1 species
AGUGAACGCUGGCGGUAGGCCUAACACAUGCAAGUCGAACGGCAGCACAGUAAGAGCUUGCUCUUACGGGUGGCGAGUGGCGGACGGGUGAGGAAUACAUCGGAAUCUACUUUUUCGUGGGGGAUAACGUAGGGAAACUUACGCUAAUACCGCAUACGACCUACGGGUGAAAGCAGGGGAUCUUCGGACCUUGCGCGAUUGAAUGAGCCGAUGUCGGAUUAGCUAGUUGGCGGGGUAAAGGCCCACCAAGGCGACGAUCCGUAGCUGGUCUGAGAGGAUGAUCAGCCACACUGGAACCGAGAAACGGUCCAGACUCCUACGGGAGGCAGCAGUGGGGAAUAUUGGACAAUGGGCGCAAGCCUGAUCCAGCCAUACCGCGUGGGUGAAGAAGGCCUUCGGGUUGUAAAGCCCUUUUGUUGGGAAAGAAAAGCAGCAGGUUAAUACCCCGCUGUUCUGACGGUACCCAAAGAAUAAGCACCGGCUAACUUCGUG